UGGACUAUCAGAUGAUACAGCCAAUGUAUUGUCUUCUCUAAUGUAUAGUAUAUCAAACGGGUUACUCGGCAUCUUGACCUCAAAGUCUUUUGAUCCUUUAUCACUGAAAACUUUUAAUUGUUUGGCCAUGUUGUAAGUAAGUACCAAUCUAUCAUCUGGAAGUACGCAACAUCCGUAAAUAUGGUUUCCUUGAGUGUCGAUGGACUUGUGUAUCGUUAGCUUUAUAUUUUCUAUAGAUUUUGUUGGAACGAUUGGAACCAUCAAUUGGGCUUGUCUGGCCUUCUUCUUGAUCAGAACUAUGUCGCAUGGAUUAGAUUCAAUACGCACUUCCCCAAAACUUCUGAUAUCUGAUAUGAUUUUCUGGAUAGAGGUGUUGAUCUGAUAUGAAAGAGUAUGCUGUUCCUUGCCUUCUACAAGAGCCUGCAAUUUUUUUUCUUUGUUAUAAACGUCCUCUUCUAUUUGCUUAAUUGAGAGAAACAUUUGAAGAUCUGUUGCGUGUUUCUUGAUGUUCAAUAGGCCCUAUUUUGGCAUUCUCCUAUUUCUUUUUCUUUCUUUUCUAGCGAGGCCAUUAACUGACAAAUUUUAGAGUUUUCUUUUUCUUCGAGCUCGUUGAGUUGUUUCAUUAAAUCUUCUUGUAGUUUGUCGAGGUGGUUGUUGAUCUGCAUUCUAGUUUUCUUAAUUUCUUUUUCUAUUUCUUUUCUUUUUUCUUUAAAAGUCAACAGAUUGUCUUGUUGAUGCUGGCGAAUUUUCUGUAGAUUAUCUGCUACUUCAACUAAUGUUUCCUCUAUCUCACACAGGGCAUUGGAGGUUUUGACGCUAUGAAUGACGUCAUCUAAUUCUACCAAUCCCUGACAUUCUUUGUGACUUUCCAUCAUACAUUUGCUACAGCAGGGACAUUCAUGCUUCUGGCAAUAAAAUUGAUAUUUUUUAUCGUGACUGGAACAAUACUGAGUACUUUUCAGUACAUUAGCUGGUAGUUUCUGGUAUUCGACAAUAGGUAUUACACUAUGACUUCGCGAUGCCUUGGACAAACCAUGAUGUUCGUUGACAUUCUGUACAUAAUCCCUCGUCACAUUCUGUACACCAGACUUAUGAUGGUUUGGUGAGGUGGCGGAGGUCACAGACACCACAACUUUGAGAUGAUGCCUCCAUUAAACACACUACAAAAUUAGAAUCAAUGAUAAAUGAAUAGUCAUAACAAUAGUUGUUCAAUCGGUGGCCUCAUCUUCAAAAGUAUAUAUCUAAAAUUAGAAAUAAUUCUCACUGAUCUCAUUUCCAUAGUUAUUUAAUUGUCCAAAAUCAAAAUAAAUUUUAUUUGUGAAGCUUAUGUUACGUCCGAUCGAAUGUCAAAAUAUUUAAAUUCAUAAAAUCGAACAUUUUAACCUUUCAUAAGAGAAAGUGGAAAAUUUGAAAAUAGUUAAAGAAGUUCAGUUCGAUUUUACUUUAUAUGUAAGGUUCAUUAACUGACGAUUGGUCAAACGUGUUCAGUAUUUGUAGAUUUAUUGUUUUCGUGAACUCCGAUUUUACAACUUAAGCUGACUGUCUGAUUGACCGUUAAAUUUAAUAUAUGAUGCAGCUGUUUGUGUUUUAACUGUAAUCAUUUUAAUUAGAAGCCGUAUAAUUUAUGUUUCUGUUUGUUUGUUUAUAAUAUGUUCCUAUACUUGUGUGAUCUAGAGAUGAAUGACGAUUUUAAUGUAUGAGAAAGUCAUGAAAGUAUUGAAGGCCUUUGCGAUAAUAAAAGUUGCUUAAUGUUGCGAUUCGAGAGAGUUGAAUAUAGUUAGUGAAAGAGAAUGGAUAUGUCUCUAUAUUGAACAAUGUAAUUAAAUGAAAGUGUAUAUACAUGCACUUGUGUAUAAUAUAAUGUAUGUAUGAAAAUUAGUUUUUAAAGCAAAUGCCUUAUAAUAGCUCCGUGUUAUUACCUUUUUAUUACCUUCAGUGUAUGGAAGGGACAUUCUGACUUUGAAAGUGCUUAUUGAAUACCAGAAAAAAAAAAUUUAAACUAAACAUUUUUUUUAACUAAAAAAUAGGGUGGGUACCGUUAUCUGAAACACACAUCUUUUUUUAUUCUGCCUAAGAUAUUCAAAAAUUAUCUUGGUAAAGUAGACGAAGAGAUGAAUAAAUAAAACAUUUUAUGCAUGAAUCAAAUUGAGUUUCGUUUUUUUUUUUCUCUCGACGAUUAUUAGAUUCAAACCUUUAAAGAUUAGUAGGUACAUUGAAGACCUGUUGGUGACCUUCUGCUGUUGUUUUUUUCUAUGGUCGGGUUGUUGUCUCUUUUGCACAUUCCCCAUUUCCUUUCUCAAUUUUAUUUUAAUUUUACUUGUUAUAUUUAUACACAAUACAAAUAAGAGGUACGGUUUUCGACAUUAUUUUGAAGCUAUUUCAAGGUUACAAGAGCGCAAUUAUUUGCUUACAUUUUACCGGCAAAGUUUUUUUUUUACCCCAAGAUAGUACUCAUAUUAGAAUCCUAUACGGCUUCUGGUUGGAUGAUACAUGAUUGGAAUUACAUUUAAUCGAAAGUUUAUCCAAUUAGGUUUAAAAAAUGCAGAACUUGAUAUUCAUAUUUUACAAAGCAUAGACAAUAUUCCAUUUCUGCACCUCGGAGCCAUUAAAAAUAUGCCUUUUUCAUUAAGCGAAAAAAAUAGACGUUCUUUUUCAACUCCAUUUUAAGUCAACUUUUGCCGCAUGACCAUAUAUAUAUAUUUUUUUGGUAGUAAUGCAGCACUGACAUUUCUAGUAACAGGAACUGCUACCCGUUCUUCCCUUGUUUGUGUAGUUCUUCGAGGGGGAAAAUACAGAACACCAGUGGUACCCGAUGGAAAAUGCAUGACUAAUAAUUGCGCUCUUGUAACCUUAAGUCUUUAUGUUAAAACGAUUUAGAAUUCAAUUUUGUUUACAGGAAAGGAUAUGCUGGCUGAUUAUUCCUACGUGAUUUGAACUAUUUGCUUACAUUUUAGUGGUUAUUUUCUGGUGUUUUCACCAUUGGCCCUUUGAAUAACGACAUACAAGGUGCACAAGAUUUAAGUGACGUUUCUUGGUCGUAUGGCUAGUAUGAUUAUAUUCAUAAUCCAAGUAUUGGUAUAGUACCGUACAUAUUCUUUUUUAUAUAUCCUUGUUUAUAACGAAGACAUUAUAAACAACUUGCCUCGGAUCUGGGACAUAAUAUAAAUAAUCAUAAAGAUGUGUAUGUUAUGUUCGAGCCAAAAACGAAAGUUAAAGUUUCUAAACGUUUGAAAAUGUAAUAUAUUUAGGUAAUAAUUGUAUAAAUAACAAUGGAUAAUGUAUUGAGAGAAGAAUUAAUCUUGGAAGUAUCAAAGAAAUCUAAAAAUUACCUUUUAAUUUGAAAUAAAACUCACUCACGUCUGGUUUACCAGCAAGGUUUUCAGUCACGUGACUAUUUAAGAAACUGAUAAAUGCCGGGAAUAUUUGAAUUAUAUCUACACACUUACAAGUACGAUGGUGGUAUAUUAAAAAUAAACAUUUAUUCCUGACAUUUUUAUACUCUUUCGAUCUUUGUUGAUUUCUAUUUAUUUCAUUAGUUUUUGGAUACGGACAACCAGAAUUUUGCGAAAAUAUCGCUUGAAAAGAUCUACAAAUGAAUUUUGUCCCACUUAUUCAUUUAUUACCCACUAAAACGAAAAGGAGCGACAAGAACAAAAAUUUAAUUAAGCAAGAAGAAAUCAAAUUUGAGUCAAGAAAGCCAAAUUAAUGCACUACCCCCCCCCCAACCCCCACCCCACCCCCCAGUAUUUCGCCAUUAUCAUAAUAACUGUCAUGUUCUAAGACGAAUGAUUUUGUCAUAUCGGAUGUUUCUUAUUUAGGUAGUGCUUGAUGCAACGUAAUUAUUAACAAAUGUCGAUUGUUAAAGAUUGUUGGAUAGUUUUGUUGUUAGGUCGCUGCGAUAUUUAUGGAAAUAUUGAAUGCAUAAUUUAUCAGUAAUUCUUUGUUUGGAAACUUCAUCAACUUCGAUCUUUAUAUGGUCGUACUAAUUUUUUUUUUAUUCAAGCGUCACUAAUGAGUAUUUUGUAGAGCAAAUCCUUGUCUGGCGUAAGCAAUUUUAAUCCUGGUAUCUAUGAUGAGAAUGUUUGAACAUGCCUUUCCCUCAAUGUACCGUUAAGUUUUUUUUGUUUUUUUUUUUUUUUAUCUUUGCUGACUUCUUUGAUAGCGUAUUUUAAGGUGUAAAUGCUCUUCAACUUUGUACUUGUCUGGCUUUCUAACUGGUUUGAUCUGAGCGUCACUGGUGAGACUUAUGUAGAUGAAACGCGCGUCAGGCGUAUUAAAUUAUAAUCCUGGUACCUUUUAUAACUAUAAUUACCGGUAUCUUGAAACAUAUUAAGAGAUAAAAAGAUACCUAUUUCUUUUUAUUUCUUUUCUAGUGACGACAAUAGCUGACAAAUUUUAGAGUUUUCUUUUUCUGCGAGGUCAUUUAGUUGUUUCAUGAGAUCGUCUUGUAGUUUGUCGAGUUGACUGUUUAUCUUCAUUCCGGUCUUCAUUAUUUCUUUUCUCUUUUCUUUCAAAGUUAACAGAUUGUCUUGUUGGUGCUGACGAAUUUUCUGUAGAUUUUCUGCUACUUUAAGUAAUGUUUCCUCUAUCUCGCACAGGGCAUUGGAUGUUUUUGAAUUUUCAAUGACGUCAUCUAAGUUGACGAUAUCCUGGUAUACUGUGUGGCUUUCUACGAUACACUUGCUGCAGCAGGGACAUUCAUGCUUUUGACAAUAUAUCUGAAACAUUUCAUCGUGUUUGCUACAGUAAUGAGUAAUUUUCAAUACACCAGUUGGUAAUUUCUGGUAUUCGACAAUAGGUAACACAUUAUGUUUUUUCGAUGCCUUAGACAAACUAUGAUAUUCUUGACAAUCUGUGCAAAGUCCCUCGUCACAUUAUGUACACCAGACUAUGGCUGGUUUGCUGCUAUGACGUAGGUAACAGACACCACAAUAAUUAAAGGCUGCAGCCAUUAAGCAAACACUACAAAAGAAUAUUCAAUGAUCGAUAAUUAAUCCUAACAAUAGUUGUUUUUUUUUAAGAAAUUAAAACAACAGCAUCCCUUUCAAUUAUCACCUUCAUGGCUUUAUUUUCAAUAGAAUAUAUAUCCAAAAUGAAAAUGAUUCUUAAUGCUUUUAUUUUCACGUACUGUUGUUCUAUUGCCGAAAAUGAAAACUAAUUUAAUUCGUUGCAGAUUGUGUAGCGUUUGAGUAUCGAAUAUUUUAAAUUGAUAUUAUCAGGCAUUCAAAAUUGUAUAAAAGAAAGUGGAAAAUUGAAACACAGAUCAAUACAUUCAGCUCCGAUUUGCUUUAGAUAUGAAGUUAAUUAUCUUAGAUGUAGAAUACAACGAGUUUGACAGACAAUGUUUGUCAUAUGAAAGAAGAGUAUAUUCAAUUGAUUUUUAUUUAGAGCUGAUGUAUACAUGCCUCAAUCAACAUGUUUCUAGUUUUAAUUGGAUACUGUUCAAACAUUUAUAGAAUAACUAAUCGAAGAAUUCAAAAAGAGAAAAAUAUUUAUCGAGUGAUUGACCGACACAUUAAUUCACGAAUGCUUAAUUUUCUGUGUUGUUCGGUCACGAGUCGAAUACAUUUUUCGAUGUUUGAAUUCUUUAAUUAGUUAUUUUUUUCAUAUUACCAAAUGUCUUUUUUUCUGAAAUGAAAGUAGAAAAUGUAAGGAAUUAUUUCUUUUCUUAGUAUUCUAAAUUUGUUUUGAUUCGACGUCAUGACAACGCCUAUUUUUGUUGUAUGACGUCAGAGGCGUGUUUAUUUCACAUGAAACAAUAUCAGUUUUAUUUCACUGAUAAAUCAAUGCUAUUCAUUGCAACCAAUGUAAUAAUUGUUAUUAACUUGUUGAAAAUACAUGAAUACGUUUAAUCACACCAACAGACUGGUAUGUCACCUGAAAAUUUAUCAGGACUAAGAUAUUUUUUAGAAACAGGUAUACAAAUAUAUAAAUUACUUAAACAUAUCUGGCAUUCAAUAAAAUUAUUUUUAUUUUCCUCUCUUUAAAUGAGAAAAAGAAUCAAUGUUAUUCUGUAUAGAUUACUAGUUAUUUGCUAUAUUUAUACACUUUAAAAAAAGAAAGCUACGAUUCUUGACAUGAUUUGGUAGCUUUUAAAUGUUGCAACAAUUAAAAAGAUAUUUUUCACCAGAAAAGAUAUGUUCAUAAAAGUUUCAUCUUCUUUUUUAUAUGUUGGUGGUAUUUUUGGGUGAAAUUUGUUGUCCCCUUUAUAUAAAGCAAAAACUAUUCUCCAGAUUUAAGAUAUUUUGCUUUGAUACCUUCCGUGAUCCUUUAGCUACGCACAGUGUAUUUAUAGUUCCAAGUAUUGGUAUAGCACAUUAAGAAUCCUGAUCUAUCAUGAAUACGUUAUAAACAAAGGCAACAAUUAUCAAAGGUACCAGGAUUAUAAUUUAGUACUCCAGACGCGCGUUUCGUCUACAUAAGACUCAUCAGUGACGCUCAUAUCAAAAUAGCUAUAAAGCCAAACAAGUACAAAGUUGAUAGCAUUGAUGAUACAAAAUUCCAUAAAGUUGUGCCAAAUACGGCUAAGGUAAUCUAUUCCUGGGAUAAAAAAAAAAUCCUUAGUUUUUCGAAAAAUUCAAAGUUUUGUAAACAGAAUAUUUAUAAAAAUGACCACAUAACUGAUAUUCAUGUCAACACCGAAGUGCUGACUAAUUAGCUGGUGAUACCCUCGGGGACGAAACGUCCACCAGCAGUGGCAUCGACCCAGUGGUGUAAAUAGGUAUUAAAGGUACCAGAACUAUAUUUUAGUACGCCAGAAACGCGUUUCGUCUACAUAAGACUCACCAGUGACGCUCAUAUCAAAAUAGUUAUAAAGCCAAACAAGUACAAAGUUGAAGAGCAUUGAGGAUCCAAAAUUUCAAACAGUUGUGCCAAAUACGGAUAAGGUCAUCUACCUAACCUCAGAACUAGGACAUAUCACAAAUACUUAUAAAUAUAUAGUGUGUACCAGUACAAAACGAAAGUUGAAAUGAUAUUUGUUUUUAAUAAACUCACAUGUUUAGUUUAUACUUUUUCAACGGAGAAUGAAACACUAAAAUAAACAAGAAUUAUUCUUCUUAAUAUUGAAUAACAUCGUAAAAUUACCUUUUACCUUGAAAUAUAAUUCAUUGACGUCUGGGUUACCAGGUAUGUUUUAAAUCACGUGACGGUUUUAUUAUUUAUAUUAUGCCGGGGAAUUUUAAAUUCAAUCUACACACUAACAAUGUGUCUGCUCAUGGUGUGUUAUGUCUUCUUCCUCAAGAAAUCGAUCUAUGCAGCUAUCAAACUCUUUAGCCAUUCUUGCCAUUUCAUGUCCCGCUAUCAUAUACAUCCAUCUUCGUUGGGUUAAUGGAUUUUAUGUUUAUCAAACAGUGUCUUAAUCUGACUUAAAAACAACAUUGUUUUGCUUAUGCUUAUGGUCAAUUGCUAUUGCUGUAACAUUUUCUUUGACUUAUGAACUACAAAGUUUCCAUCUUCUUGAUACUGCUUGCAAAGCACAUUGGUAUUAUUUGCAUUCUAUCAUACGGCACCGACAAACAUAAAUGAAAAAUAUAUCCACUGUUCCUUGUUUUCUUGUCUAACAGUGAACCAUUAACUCUAGGUGUGCUUCUCUAGAUGCAUGAUGACAAGUUUUUUUUAUAGUUACGGAUUCGUUUGUAGCUGUUGAAAAAUUAACAUUUAAGCAAUCGUUAUUGUUUCUUGAAAAAUAAGAGUCGGUUGAUAUAUCUGGUUCCGUACAACAACAUACUACCAAGAGUUAAGAAGGAUCUUGGAAACGAAUUCUCCUGAUAGUUCGCUUAACAACUGCCAUCAAACCUAGAUGUAACACUAAACAUGUCUCUGCGAAUGGUUUUAUGGCUUUAUAAAUCUGCAUGUAGUUUGAUCAAAGUCAUCAUAACAUGCUUUUUGAAGAGCGGACCCUUUAUCAUCUUUGCAAGCAAGUAAACUCUCUCACCCUUGUUUGUAUUCCUGAAUAUCAGAAAAAUAAGCAAGAUUUCGAUAUAAAGAUGUGGUAUAAGUGCCAAUGAGACAACUAUCCAUCCAAGUCAAACAUGUGCAAACUCGUUAACAGGCAAACAACCAAAAAUUGUAAAAUAUAAGAAGCUUAUUCGAUAAACUGUACUGUGAUCUCUGCCUUCAAUAUCAACAAACAGAUUCAGUCAGAGUAAAUCUUUGUAAGAUCUGACAUCUUGAAUACUAGUGCCCAAUCUUACUCGGUUUUUGAAUCUUUAAUGUAGCAGAUUCUUUUAGCUAAUGCGAUAACAUGACUUAUUCGUGUGUCUCUUCCAUAUUCAAACCACCUUCGCCAGAAACUAUUGAUGCCUUCAAUAAAGAUUAGCUAGACACUGAACAUGAUGAUAUGCUCCUUCUGCAACAAGGUUCUCUAAUAAAGCUGUGUCGUGGAGCUUUAGUGCACAUGUACGACACAGUCGUCGGCAUUACUUUAACAUUCUUUGUCUUUGUUCAUCUGAUUCUCAAUAAGUUUAAAUCUUUUUAGAUCUCAUUGAAUUGUUAUUUAGAAUUUUUAUAAGUGUAUGUCUAUCUUUUUUUCAAAAAUAAUAAUGAAACAACAGGAUUGACAAAAAAUGAAUUUGAAUGGUCUCCAAAGAACCAUGAACAUACAUAUUUAUUUGAAAAAUAUAUCUACUUUAUGAUAGUACUUGUAUUUAUUUACGAUUCUAGAAUUAUGUGGUAAUUUUAUUUAGAUGUUACGAUAGUUUUUCAGUCGGAAGAUAACAAAAUCCAUAAAUCUCUCGAAAUCUCGUGGAGUCUGCGAUUUUAUCAAUUUUAUACUGAAAAGCCUACCAUAUUCAUUUCCAGUUAGGUAUACUAUUCCCAAAAAGACAUAAUAGAUUAUUCUAUUACAUACUUCGUAUAACUUUUUUGUAACUAAAGAUUCAUAUUUUUCUUGAAUUGUAACACAAAAUUGCGACCGGAAGUGACCAAAACGUCAUCAAAUGCUGUUUCAACAUUAUAAAAUAACACUAAAAACCAUCUGAUGUGAUUCAAAUCAAAUUAAAACAUCAGUUUUGUAGUUUAAACUAAAAUCUCUGAGAGAAAAUUCAAAAAGUCAAAAUUUAAACAUGCAUCCGUCAUAUUGUAUUUUACCGGAAUUCAACUAUAUUUACAGCUUGCCUUCAUAUCUUAAAUUAAAGAGUAUAGAUUGAAGUAUGUUUAGUUCACCCUUAGUUUUUGGUGGAGUUCGUGUUGCUGAUUCUUUAGUUUUCUAUGUUGUGUCAUGUGUACUAUUGUUUGUCUGUUUGUCUUUUUAAUUUUUAGCCAUGGCGUUGUCAGUUUAUUUUCGAUUUAUGAGUUUGACUGUCACUUUGGUAUCUAUCGUCCCUCUUUUAGGCAAAAUUUGGUGCUUUUAACACGAAGUGCACAAUUCUUUCAUAUAUUGCACCUAUUUGGCGGACUACAGGUAGCAAUAAACAGUAAGGAAAAAAUAUUAAAAUUUGCCCUUAUAAAUUUUACCAUCCACUUUCCGUUGCUUUCUUGCAAUAUUAGGCUUACUGUUUGUGUCAUAUAUGUGCAUACGUCCAUCAAUUUUAUAUCAAGUAUUUAUAAUGGAAAAAUAUAAUUUCUUUUAUGUGUAUUAAUACAUUUCGAUUUCACCGUUUACAUGACAGGAAACCAAACAGGAAACCAAUCUUUAUUUUUUUUAUUUUGCACAAUAUAUUUCAAAAGACAUAAAUGAACACCAUUACUGGUGUUGCUUGCUUCGUGUUGAUAUUUAAAAUCUAUUUUCAUUGUUAAAUUAAAGGGUUUUUUUAAACGCGACAGGAAACCAUAGGAAUUCGAAGGCAUUUUUUUAGUUUUAUUUUAUUGCAAAAUCUGCUUAAAAUUAUCUAAACAGUAUACUUUUUCUUAAAAUCCAUCUUAAAUGUAACAUUAUUAUAUAAAACUCCUAAAUAUGUGCUUGUUUUGAAAACAAUUAGUACAAUUUAUUCAGAAAUUUCCAUAUUUUCUUUAUUGAUACAGGAUACCAUAAUCGUUGCAUCUUAAUGUUUUAGCCAAAAAAAUGUAUUUAUAUUUGGUUUUGAAAUUCCGGCUGUAUACAAUUUAUUCCAAAUCAUUGACAAUGUCAAAAUUCUAUAAAUCCGGUAAAGUAAAAAACUUUUAACUUGGAAUUAAAAUCUUUAAAAUAGGCACCAUGUGAUAUUUGUGACAUGUACACCAUCUACAUGGUUUCCACAUUUUAACCUACUGUAGGGGGCUGAAAUCAAUAAAGUACUUCCUUUCAAGUUAUGCAAGGUAAAAGUUUAUUUCUCCUUUGACAAUUUUAUUGCAUUUCUGAAAAGUGUUUGCAGAACAUGAUUAAAAAAAGUAAUUUUAAAUUGUGACAAAGAUACCAACUUUGUACAUUCCAAGUGUAACGGUAUAUUAACAUGUAUUUUUUAUUAAAUUAUCUUUAUUCACCUAAAGUAUCCAGUAAUAUUUACUGCUCAUUGGCACUCACACCACAUCUUCCUAUAUCUAUAUAUGAAGCAAAAUCAAUUCAACGAGCAUCGGCACAAUGAUAAGAAACGUAAUGUCAAUUGAAUUUUCCAAGUACCCUUUUUCAUCGUUAUCCGGAAACAAAGUGUGUUAUAACGUCCGUCAAAUCUGAAAUCGAUUUUGUCAAGUCAUGAUCAUUGGGCAUUUAUUUUCACUCAAGAUCGUAUGUAACAUUAUGCACAUAGGAAAAAUAAAAUACCCCUGGCGCUAUCUCUUUGAAACUUGUGUUUUCCUUUUUUAAACAAUAUGAAACAAGUCUCCAGAAUAUGCUUGCUAACAUACCGUUGGAAACAAAAACAAUGUUUAGACCUAGUACUUCAUAUAUCCGGCCGUAAGCGCGUGAUCACAUGUUAGUCACAUGUUUCACGUAUGACCGGAAAUGAUCAGAACUUAACGACAAAAACAGUUUUAUUAAAAAAACAAGAAUGUGUCCACAGUACAAGGAUGCCCCACUCGCACUAUCAUAUUCUAUGUUUAGUGGACCGUGAAAUUGGAAUAAAUUCUCUAAUUUGGCAUUAAAAUUAGAAUGAUUUUAUCAAAGGGAACAUGUAUACUAAGUUAUAAGUUGAUUGGACUUCUACUCUAUCAAAAACUACCUUGACCAAAAACUUUAACCUGAAAUUUGCACUAUCAUUUUCUAUGUUCAGUGAACCGUAAAAUUGGGGUCAAAACUCUAGUUUGGCAUUUAAAUUAGAAAGAUCAUAUCAUAGGGCACAUGUAUACUAAGUUUCAAGUUGAUUGGACUUCGUCUUCAUCAAAAACUACCUUGACCAAAAACUUUAACCUGAAGCGGGACAGACGGACGAACGAACGGACGGACGAACGGACGCACAGACCAGAAAACAUAAUGCCCCUCUACUAUCGUAGGUGGGGCAUAAAUAGGGAAUAUCUGGACUUUUGUUUCUUGUGAAAUGUAUAUAUGUCAUUCAUCUCAUUUGUUUGUAAAAUUGCGUCAAAAACUUCGUGUAGAAAAAAAGGUUUGUAAACAUUACAUUAAUUUCUGGAACAAUGGUCAGUCUAGCUAUGAAAAUACAGAGUCAAACAGAAAAUCUGCAAUAAAACAUGUAAAAAAUAAUACUGAUGUUCUUAUAAACAAUCUUUGAAGGCUAAAUUAGUACUCAGCUGUCAAAAAAUGAAAUUUAUUAGACAAUAACUUUCAUAUUUAAAAAAUCCACUGGGGCAAAAAUGCGAAACUAAACUCCUAACUGUGUAUUGCUACCUCAUACAAUAAAUCAGUGAAACUGACAUGUUACAUUUACAUUCAAAUUUUACUUUUGGACAAAUCCUUUUGGGUGUUAUAUAACAGAGUUAAAAUGACUUUAAGCUGUGUUUAGCUUUUUGAUGCUAUGCUUGAGACUUAAAGAAUUCAUCAUUAAUUAUGUUUUAUAUUAAAUUAUCUACCUAGACAAUAAGUUACUACAUUUUACGGACGCCAUCACGAGUUGGUUGACCGUUAUGGAAUAACCGUUUCACAAAUGAUAUCGGAUAUGUUCCUUACGUCGUAACUACAAUCCCCUUCCCUUUCAUGAAUAUGACCUACCGAAUUAGACAAUUUACCGGAUUUGUAAUCACAUAAGCAACACAACGGGUGCCACAUGUGGAGCAGGAUCUGCUUACCCUUCCGGAGCACCUGAGAUCACCCCUAGUUUUUGGUGGGGUUCCUGUUGUUUAUUCUUUAGUUUUCUAUGUUGUGUCGUGUGUACUAUUGUUUUUCUGUUUGUCAUUUUCAUUUUUAGCCAUGGCGUUGUCAGUUUGUUUUGGAUUUAUUAGUUUGACUGUCCCUUUGGUAUCUUUCGUCCCUCUUCUUUUACUAUAUAUCUAAUUGAUAAUGGACAUAAUAAUCAAAGUGACAAUAAUGCCUCAGGGCUUAAUCCUUUAUUCUUCUAAAAUUAGAGACAUUGCUAAAAGAGUUGUUUUAAUUAUUUAUCUUUCUUUAUCUGGAUAAUAAUUUGUUUAUAUUUGUCAACACAUUAUGCAAUAAUUGAUUUUAGCUAAUUGUUUAAUUCUCAUAGAUAUUCAUAUUGUAAAAUUAUUGUGAAAGGUUUAAGUUUGGAAGUCAUAGCGUUGGUGACAAGUUCCAGUCUUGGAAAUAAAUUAUAUACUCAGUGGAAUUCAUCUUCUGUGUAAUACUGCUAGUUUAUGGUGCAUGGUGAUUUAGGUUUAACAUUUAGUUGUGACCGAAUCCUCCUAUCAGUCUCCUAGAUAUUAGACUGUGCAUUUCAUGGUUACAGUUAUUUCCUCUGAUAAUUACAUUCUUUGUAUAUUUUGCAGUUUUGUUACUGUUAUCUUGGGAAAAGAUAGUAGCAAAAUUGUUAGCUAGACAAAUCUGCAAACAAAUCUGGUUUCACUGAUAAGUCAUAAUUAAGUCAAUAAGAGAAAUGUAGCGGGAAGAAACAAAAGAAAAAAAAGGUUUAAUAUUUUUAAACAUAAUUUAACAAACAAAAAAAGAGAGUCAACAAAUAGCUAUUGUUUAUUGAUUUUAUAAAGUUUCAAGUCAAAGAACAAAAAUAACCAGUUGAAUCCUUAUAGGAGAUAUCGACCGUAAAUUGCAAGUUUACCAUUUUUUCAUAUUUUUAGCUACAAUCUUGAAAAUUAUAAUAUACAUAUAUUUCAACUAAGACUACUAUAUCAAACAAGCUCAUUUUAAACUGCAAACAUUGUUAGCACAAAUAAAAUUCACAAGUGAGUCAAUAUGGUUAAAAUCUACUCCUUACGUAUGUGGGUUAUCAUCCUUACAUUUUGAUUGUAAUAAUUGCUUAGUAGAUAGAGGAUAUAACUAACAAAAGAAGAAACAAAAGGUUUAACUAUCAGGUAAGCAACCAGAUCUACAAGACAGUAUAAUUUCAGGUUAAUAUGACCGAAAUCACCAGUCGACUCGUUAUUGGAGUGAUUGUAAUUUUAUGACAAUUCUAAAAGAGGGACGAAAGAUACCAAAGGGAGAGUCAAACUCAUAAAUCUAAAAUAAACUGACAACGCCAUGGCUAAAAAUAAAAAAAGACAAACAGACAAACAAUAGUACACAUGACACAACAUAGAAAACUAAAGGAUAAACAACACGAACCCCACCAAAAACUAGGGGUGAUCGCAGGUGCUCUGGAAGGGUAAGCAGAUCCUGCUCCACAUGUGGCACCCGUUGUUUUGUUUAUUUGUUUUAGCUUUUUGAGAUGAAAACAAGUCGAGAAAAAAAAUUCGUUAAUUAAGCAAAAAGAGGCGAGAGUAUCUUAGAAAUUUCAAACUCACAAGUUGGUUGGAAAUAAACUGGCAACGCCAUUGCUAAAAAAGAAAGGGACUAACAGACAGGAAACACAACAUACAAAACUAAAUAUUGAGCAACACGAAUCCCAACAAAAACUUAUCUAAUGUGCUCCCAAAGGGUAAAUAUUUCUUGCUCCACGUCGUGUUGCCAAUUUUAGUAUAUAAUCGGCAGUAUGUCUAAUUCAGUAGGUCACAUUCAUGGAAAUAUGAACUGGAUUGGUAUUGCGAAAAUUGUAACAUAUCUGCUAUCAUCUGUGAAACAAAUAUUUUAUAACGAUCAACCAACUCGUUAUAAAGUCUGUGAAAUUAACGAUUUCAAGUUCACCAUUUGGAAGACUUGGUUUAAAAGCUUUCUUGUGAGCAACAACCCUCUAUCAUGAAAAUUAUCAAAUGACUUCUGGAAGGAAAUAUUGAAACAUGUUUUUAUUCAUAAUUUUCCUAUGAUCUUAAAAACUAUGACUAUUAAAAAAAAGAAAAAAAUAAGUAAGCAGCAAAAAUAUAAGCUAGGCUUAACUUAAUAGAUACUCGUCACAUGAUUGCUUAUCAGCUUUAAAAUGUCCUUCAAUAACGAUAUUUACACAUUUCUGUGUUUUGGGCGAAAAAUGUAUUGCUGAUCGAUAGAAGCAGCAAACAAAAUACAACAAAAUAAAUGAGAUGUUACCAUUAAUUGAAUGAAAUGUUCGCAAAUUUUCUCAUUAUUUUGCAAUUAUCAAGAAAUUUUUCUGUUCUAAGGCGGUUGUUUCAGUCAUAUUUGAUGUUUCUUUCUUAUUUAAUUAGUAUAUGUGGUAGAUUAUUGGUAGUUCUGCAGAUUUGUUCAAAACUUGGAAGGAUGAAGGAAGAGCUUGAAGUAACAUAUAAACAUAUGUUUAUUGUUAAAACUAUAUGUGCACCACAAAAUGUCUUUUGAUAUUUUUAUGUUGCUAUCAUAUUCGUGAAACUUUUGAAUAGAUUACCUUGGCCUUUUUUGUCAAAAUCGGUCGUGAUUUUUCGGAAUUAAUUUAGUUUCCCUCACUUUUUCUACUGCAUUAAUAUCUUCCUCAAAUGCAGAUACCAUGUUUUGUUUAGAUAUUCCACGUCUGGAACAUUAAAAGACUGAUAUAGAAAUUUUUCAAAACUUUUGAGGUAGAACUGCAACGAUGAAUUGUGAAAAUGCCACCUGUCCUUGUCUAAACGUGUUAUCAGUUCUGUCUCCUCUGUCCAGCAACAAAACAACCUUAGCAUCACUGAGGCACACAUAACCUCACUAAAGCAAGUGAUCAUCAUAUUUUUAAUGAAACGCGGAAACGCUUCUUGCAUAACAUUUCCUAUCAUUUCGUGUAAAAUAAAAAAAAGAAUAUAUAUUUGCAGGUUAACAAAAGAAAUUGAUUCAUGUUAUUUAAAUACUCUGUCUGAAGGUAAAACUUUAAACACAAAACUUCGGUAGAAGUUUUAUACUGUGAUAAAGAAAGUUUAAUUUCGACAUGGAACCAAUAGUAUAAGUGAGAACUAGAAGGUAUCGAUUUAAAAGAAGAUAGUUUGAACAAAAUUCCACAAAUGCCAACCAUUUUCAUUGGAUAAUAAUUUAUUAUUAUAUAUAUCUAUAUCAUAUCCAUACUUAUUGUGUUCUUAAAGACCAACCUUGCACGAAGUAUAUGAAUAAUACAAAUGCAUAGUGUUUAUUAAUAAGUUAUGCGGAGUUAAUGAUUUUAUAACGUUGAGUUACGCAUUCAUGAGCAUGGGCUACUUUUUCCUGACAUGGUUUGUUUUCAUACGAUUUGAGAGCAUAUGGUCGAAUUAAACUAUUUGUCUAUCCGGGAAUAUGUGUAUGAACCCCACACAUACUGCGUGCAAAUAUAAGUCUAUAAAAAAAGUUACACUUCAUGUUAUUCUCGACAUUUGUCACCUAGCUUAUUAGUUGACACACACAUAUAGAAAUAAAGACAACCGCAGUGUACCAGUGUCCAAAAGUCAUAAAUCGAUUGAGAAGAAACAAAUCCGUGGUUACUAACCAAACCCUAUGGAAACACGUCAACAAUAAGAGGAAAACAAAGAAAAAAACAGUAACAGCGAAGUGGAACAAAAACAAACUCAUACACACAUGGGAGAAAAGAAGAAUUAAGGUUUAUCGCUGGUUUAAGUUGUUUCAUGUAAUGAAUCUGUUUUUAUUCUGUAAAUGGUCACCAACAAAGUGGAAUUGAAGUUUAUCAGCAAUUUCAAGCACGUCCGUUUGCAAUUAAGAUAUGGUUGAACCAGAUAGAAAACUUAUUUUUAAAGCAUACAAAAUCCUGACCAAAUGUGUUUAUGUAAAUGAAUGAAGCUGUAUUCUUUUCAUUUUUGUGAGAUAAUUGACACGGAUAGACAUCUUUGUUUUAAACACACACUCCAUAUAACAUAUGAUAAAACUGACGAUAAACAAGAUAUAAAUCCUUUACAAUAAUCAUUUACAAAUUAUUUUUUUUUAAAGAAUGCAUUAUAAUAAAAGAAAGCAAGUGCUUGUACAAAUACAUAGUGUUCAUUGUUUAUAAACAUUUAAUAUAAUAAAAAUCGACAGACAGCAGUUUUCAUAGUUAUUUUUUUUUUCAAAUACAAUUAGUCAAUAAAGCCUUUUUCUCGAAGUUGGCGAGUAGCAACUGAUUGGUUGGUCCACUAUAAUGGAGUGAAACAGGAUAAUUUAUACCAAUACUUCCUGUCAAUACCUCUGUAUGUCGUUGUCCAUCAGGGGAGAUAACUACAACAUUGUUAGAAUUGUAUCCCGCCACGUAUACAUUGCCAUCGCUAUCUACAUCAAUACCAUGAGUAGACUUAAGAACGCUUUCGUUAUGGAAUGUCCAUUGUAGUUUACCUUGUAGAUUAUAACAUGAAGCCGUGUGUGUCCUAUAGUUUGUAUGAUACAUUUUGUCCCUAAAUGUUGCAGUGUAACAGUUAGCGGGCAGUUUGUCUCGAACUAUGUCACGUAUAGACUCGUCGUACAUAUUAAUCAUGUGUAGACCUUUGUCUGUAGCAGCAUAAAUCAAUUGAUUACCUUUCAGUGCUAUUCCAUCAAUUGCCGAAUCCAAAGCAAUUGAUUUCAUUAUUUGUUUUGUCUCCAGGUUUAUUAUGGUAAUGGUACAUGGAUCAUCAGAUGAGACAGCCAAUGUAUUGUCCUCCCUUAUGUAUACUAAAUCAAACGGGUUACAUGGCAUCUUCACCUCAAAGUCUUUUGAUCCCUUUUUAUUGAAUACUUUAACAAUUUUCAUCAUGUAGUAACUAAAUGCCAAUCUAUCUCCGGCAGUAUGCAACAUCCAUAAAUAGUAUUUCCAUCAGUGUCGAUGGUCUUGUGUAUCGUUAGAUUUAUAUUUUCUAUAGAUUUUGUUGGAACGAUUGGAAUCAUCAAUUGGGCUUGUCUGGCCUUUUUCCUGAUCAGAACUAUGUCGCAUGGUUUAGAUUCAAUACGCACUUCCCCAAAACUUCUGAUAUCGGAUAUGAUAUUCUGGAUAGAGGUGUUGAUCUGAUAUGAAAGAGUAUGCUGUUCCUUGCCUUCUACAAGAGCCUGUGAUAGUUUUUCUUUGCUAUAAACGUCCUCUUCUAUUUGCCUCAUUGAGAGAAACAUUUGAAGAUCUGUUGCGUGUUUCUUGAUGUUCAAUAGGCUGUCUUGGCAUUCUCCUAUUUCUUUUUCUUUCUUUUCUAGCGAGGCCAUUAACUGACAAAUUUUAGAGUUUUCUUUUUCUUCGAGCUCGUUGAGUUGUUUUAUUAAAUCUUCUUGUAGUUUGUCGAGGUGGUUAUUGAUCUUCAUUCUAGUUUUCUUUAGUUCUUUUUCAAUUUCUUUUCUUUUUUCUUUAAAAGCCAACAUAUUGUCUUGUUGAUGCUGGCGAAUCUUCUUUAGAUAUUCUGCUACCUCAACUAAUGAUUCCUCUAUCUCGCACAUAGCAUUGGAGGAUUUGGCGUUAUGAAUGAUAUUCUCUAAUUCGACAAUUUCCCGGCACUCUUUGUGACAUUCCACGAUACAUGUGCUGCAGCAGGGACAUUCAUGCUUCUGGCAAUAGAAUUGAUAUUUUUUUAUCGUGACUGGUACAAAACUGAGUGAUUUUUCAGUACAUUCGCUGGCAGUUUCUGGUAUGCGGCAAUAUGUAUCACACUGUGGCUUCGCGAUGCCUUAGACAAACUAUGAUGUUCUGUACAU
rnacentral:lncRNA from 1 species